rnacentral:misc_RNA from 1 species
UAGAGUCUCUGAACUCCCAAACCUUUGUGAACAUACCACUGUUGCUUCGGCGGGAUCGUCCCGGGCGCGCCUCUGGGCGUGUCCCGGAUCCAAGGCGCCCGCCGAGGGUAUCAAACUCUCGUCUUUAUAGCGGACUUCUGAGUAAAAAACAAAAAUAAAUUA